GAUGAACGCUGGCGGCGUGCCUAAUACAUGCAAGUCGAGCGAACAGACGAGGAGCUUGCUCCUCUGACGUUAGCGGCGGACGUGUGAGUCACACGUGGAUACCCUACCUGUCAUACUGGGAUCAUUUCGGGAAACCGGCGCUAAUACCGGAUAAUCUAUUGCACCGCAUGGUUCAAUAGUGAAAGACGGUUUUGCGGUCACUUAUCGAUGGAUCCGCGCCGCAUUAGCUAGUUGGUAAUGUAACGGCUUACCAAGGCUACGAUGCGUAGCCGACCUGAGAGGGUGAUCGGCCACACUGGAGCGGAGACACGGUCCAGACGCCUGCGGGAGGCAGCAGUAGCGAAUCUUACGCAAUGGGCGAAAGCCUGACGGAGCAACGCCACGUGAGUGAUGAAGGCCUUCGGAGCGUAAUACUCUGUUAUUAGGGAAGAACAAAUGUGUAAGUAACUGUGCACGUCUUGACGGUACCGAGUAAGAAAGCCACGGCUAACUACGUG
rnacentral:rRNA from 1 species